rnacentral:rRNA from 1 species
GGGUUGUGAGGUUAAGCGACUAAGCGUACACGGUGGAUGCCCUGGCAGUCAGAGGCGAUGAAGGACGUGCUAAUCUGCGAAAAGCGUCGGUAAGGUGAUAUGAACCGUUAUAACCGGCGAUGUCCGAAUGGGGAAACCCAGUGGUGUGUUAGUGGAACGGUCUGGAAAGUCCGACGGUACAGGGUGAUAGUCCCGUACACCAAAAUGCACAGGCUGUGAACUCGAAGAGUAGGGCGGGACACGUGGUAUCCUGUCUGAAUAUGGGGGGACCAUCCUCCAAGGCUAAAUACUCCUGACUGACCGAUAGUGAACCAGUACCGUGAGGGAAAGGCGAAAAGAACCCCGGCGAGGGGAGUGAAAAAGAACCUGAAACCGUGUACGUACAAGCAGUGGGAGCACCUUCGGGUGUGACUGCGUACCUUUUGUAUAAUGGGUCAGCGACUUAUAUUCUGUAGCAAGGUUAACCGUAUAGGGGAGCCGCAGGGAAACCGAGUCUUAACUGGGCGUUAAGUUGCAGGGUAUAGACCCGAAACCCGGUGAUCUAGCCAUGGGCAGGUUGAAGGUUGGGUAACACUAACUGGAGGACCGAACCGACUAAUGUUGAAAAAUUAGCGGAUGACUUGUGGCUGGGGGUGAAAGGCCAAUCAAACCGGGAGAUAGCUGGUUCUCCCCGAAAGCUAUUUAGGUAGCGCCUCGUGAACUCAUCUUCGGGGGUAGAGCACUGUUUCGGCUAGGGGGUCAUCCCGACUUACCAACCCGAUGCAAACUACGAAUACCGAAGAAUGUUAUCACGGGAGACACACGGCGGGUGCUAACGUCCGUCGUGAAGAGGGAAACAACCCAGACCGCCAGCUAAGGUCCCAAAGUCAUGGUUAAGUGGGAAACGAUGUGGGAAGGCACAGACAGCCAGGAUGUUGGCUUAGAAGCAGCCAUCAUUUAAAGAAAGCGUAAUAGCUCACUGGUCGAGUCGGCCUGCGCGGAAGAUGUAACGGGGCUAAACCAUGCACCGAAGCUGCGGCAGCGACACUAUGUGUUGUUGGGUAGGGGAGCGUUCUGUAAGCCUGCGAAGGUGUGCUGUGAGGCAUGCUGGAGGUAUCAGAAGUGCGAAUGCUGACAUAAGUAACGAUAAAGCGGGUGAAAAGCCCGCUCGCCGGAAGACCAAGGGUUCCUGUCCAACGUUAAUCGGGGCAGGGUGAGUCGACCCCUAAGGCGAGGCCGAAAGGCGUAGUCGAUGGGAAACAGGUUAAUAUUCCUGUACUUGGUGUUACUGCGAAGGGGGGACGGAGAAGGCUAUGUUAGCCGGGCGACGGUUGUCCCGGUUUAAGCAUGUAGGCUGGUUAUCCAGGCAAAUCCGGAUAAUCAAGGCUGAGGUGUGAUGACGAGGCACUACGGUGCUGAAGUAACAAAUGCCCUGCUUCCAGGAAAAGCCUCUAAGCAUCAGGUAACAUCAAAUCGUACCCCAAACCGACACAGGUGGUCAGGUAGAGAAUACCAAGGCGCUUGAGAGAACUCGGGUGAAGGAACUAGGCAAAAUGGUGCCGUAACUUCGGGAGAAGGCACGCUGGUGUGUAGGUGAAGUCCCUGCGGAUGGAGCUGAGACCAGUCGAAGAUACCAGCUGGCUGCAACUGUUUAUUAAAAACACAGCACUGUGCAAACACGAAAGUGGACGUAUACGGUGUGACGCCUGCCCGGUGCCGGAAGGUUAAUUGAUGGGGUUAUCCGUAAGGAGAAGCUCUUGAUCGAAGCCCCGGUAAACGGCGGCCGUAACUAUAACGGUCCUAAGGUAGCGAAAUUCCUUGUCGGGUAAGUUCCGACCUGCACGAAUGGCGUAAUGAUGGCCAGGCUGUCUCCACCCGAGACUCAGUGAAAUUGAACUCGCUGUGAAGAUGCAGUGUACCCGCGGCAAGACGGAAAGACCCCGUGAACCUUUACUAUAGCUUGACACUGAACAUUGAGCCUUGAUGUGUAGGAUAGGUGGGAGGCUUUGAAGCGUGGACGCCAGUCUGCGUGGAGCCAACCUUGAAAUACCACCCUUUAAUGUUUGAUGUUCUAACGUUGGCCCCUGACCGGGGUUGCGGACAGUGUCUGGUGGGUAGUUUGACUGGGGCGGUCUCCUCCCAAAGCGUAACGGAGGAGCACGAAGGUUAGCUAAUCCUGGUCGGACAUCAGGAGGUUAGUGCAAUGGCAUAAGCUAGCUUGACUGCGAGCGUGACGGCGCGAGCAGGUGCGAAAGCAGGUCAUAGUGAUCCGGUGGUUCUGAAUGGAAGGGCCAUCGCUCAACGGAUAAAAGGUACUCCGGGGAUAACAGGCUGAUACCGCCCAAGAGUUCAUAUCGACGGCGGUGUUUGGCACCUCGAUGUCGGCUCAUCACAUCCUGGGGCUGAAGUAGGUCCCAAGGGUAUGGCUGUUCGCCAUUUAAAGUGGUACGCGAGCUGGGUUUAGAACGUCGUGAGACAGUUCGGUCCCUAUCUGCCGUGGGCGCUGGAGAAUUGAGGGGGGCUGCUCCUAGUACGAGAGGACCGGAGUGGACGCAUCACUGGUGUUCGGGUUGUCAUGCCAAUGGCACUGCCCGGUAGCUAAAUGCGGAAGAGAUAAGUGCUGAAAGCAUCUAAGCACGAAACUUGCCCCGAGAUGAGUUCUCCCUGAGACUUUAAGUCUCCUGAAGGAACGUU